UAGCUCAGUGGUAGAGCACUUGCCUAGGGUGCAGAGGGCUCUGGAUUCAAUUUCCAG
rnacentral:tRNA from 1 species